rnacentral:lncRNA from 1 species
CUUCGGCCCGCAAAUCCACGCCUCCUGGUGCAGCAAAGCACGCUCUCACAAAGGACCCACAAAGAGUCCUGGGGUCGGCUCUAAAGGAAUAAUUACGCUAUUUCAAGAGUCAUCCUCAAAGCCGUUUUAUUGCUAACCCAAUCCCACAGGAGGACAAAGCUGAUCUUCCGUCCACGGCGGGAUGACUGCAGCUUGCCUGCACGGUGGGAUCUUCUCCUGGGCCGGAUUCGGAGUGCUUUGUCUCCCGGAGCGGGAAACAACGAGUCCCAGUUGAAGGAAGAGCACAGCGCAGACCCCGGCAGAAAUGAGAAAAUGGAACCGAGGGAGCUUGUGAAAGAGGAGAUCCUUGAGACAAAGCGCAGUGCCAGCCAGAAGCUCAGCCUCGGAUACCUGGCCGUCAGACAGAACAUGGGCAUGAAGACGAGAGCAGAGACAGACCCUACAUUGCACCAAGGCCACGUCAGCUAUGCAGGAGACAGUGGACCUGCAAAUGCAACAAGAAACAGGAAGCUCUUCUUUAACGUCCGUUGUUGCCUUCGUCCUCCCAGCGGCUUCUCCUGCAAGAAGAUGUGGAUGAAGAUCAAGUGAGCACCAGGCUGCCGCCAUAUGUGCAGGAACACCUGCAGAAUAAAAAGUCCUGUUCACCAGAGAUGUACCGCUCCUCUUUGCACCCCUGGAAGCAGGCUGGAGGGGAUUGGGCUCUGGGUGUUGCACCCCACCUGAGGGAGAAUGUACGCACUUUCAGAGGGCAGCCCCCAGCCAAGCAGCACCACCCUGGGAAGCCUCAGCUUCAGCCAAGAGCUGGGGGACAAACAGGGGCUCAAGUGCUGAGCAGAGCCCAGGGAACAGAGAACUGGCUUGGGAGCACUGGGGGGUUCCACCACCUGCCAGGAAGCACCCACACUGCGCUUACCAGAACAGAGAGCUUCACGCUGUUGGGCAGCUUCUGGCAUUUCUUGCUCACAACCUCCAGCAGAAGCCAGCUGCAUCACUGCACCUUCCCUGCCGGUGGAGGAGGGCAGGCAAGGUGCAGCUGCCCCCAGGAUGCCGUGUCCCCAGGCACCCCCUACCCCCACGGGAGCAGGGAGGUGCCCCACAGCAGGAAGCAGCACCAGGACCCCAAGUCCUGUUAGGAAGGAAGUGCUGCUGCACCAACAGCCCUGCACCACUGCUCCCCAUACCUCUC